GUCAGAAAGUAGUUUAAUAAAAAUAUUAAUUUUGGAGAUUAAUGAUAAAAGUAAUUUUUUUUCUG
rnacentral:tRNA from 1 species